rnacentral:rRNA from 1 species
UACGUAGGGUGCAAGCGUUAAUCGGAAUUACUGGGCGUAAAGCGUGCGCAGGCGGUUGUGCAAGACAGAUGUGAAAUCCCCGGGCUUAACCUGGGAACUGCAUUUGUGACUGCACGGCUGGAGUGCGGCAGAGGGGAAUGGAAUUCCGCGUGUAGCAGUGAAAUGCGUAGAUAUGCGGAGGAACACCGAUGGCGAAGGCAAUUCCCUGGGCCUGCACUGACGCUCAUGCACGAAAGCGUGGGGAGCAAACAGG